GGGCGGCCCAGGGGCGGGCGCGCCGCUGCAUCCCCAUCCUCGUCGUCGCCCGGCACAGCGCGAGCGGGCGAGCGGCGCGGGCGGCCGGAGCGCCGAGGCCCGGCCAUGGCCACCACCAGCACCACGGGCUCCACCCUGCUGCAGCCCCUCAGCAACGCCGUGCAGCUGCCCAUCGACCAGGUCAACUUUGUAGUGUGCCAACUCUUUGCCUUGCUAGCAGCCAUUUGGUUUCGAACUUAUCUACAUUCAAGCAAAACUAGCUCUUUUAUAAGACAUGUAGUUGCUACCCUUUUGGGCCUUUAUCUUGCACUUUUUUGCUUUGGAUGGUAUGCCUUACACUUUCUUGUACAAAGUGGAAUUUCCUACUGUAUCAUGAUCAUCAUAGGAGUGGAGAACAUGCACAAUUACUGCUUUGUGUUUGCUCUGGGAUACCUCACAGUGUGCCAAGUUACUCGAGUCUAUAUCUUUGACUAUGGACAAUAUUCUGCUGAUUUUUCAGGCCCAAUGAUGAUCAUUACUCAGAAGAUCACUAGUUUGGCUUGCGAAAUUCAUGAUGGGAUGUUUCGGAAGGAUGAAGAACUGACUUCCUCACAGAGGGAUUUAGCUGUAAGGCGCAUGCCAAGCUUACUGGAGUAUUUGAGUUACAACUGUAACUUCAUGGGGAUCCUGGCAGGCCCACUUUGCUCUUACAAAGACUACAUUACUUUCAUUGAAGGCAGAUCAUACCAUAUCACACAAUCUGGUGAAAAUGGAAAAGAAGAGACACAGUAUGAAAAAACAGAGCCAUCUCCAAAUACUGCGGUUGUUCAGAAGCUCUUAGUUUGUGGGCUGUCCUUGUUAUUUCACUUGACCAUCUGUACAACAUUACCUGUGGAGUACAACAUUGAUGAGCAUUUUCAAGCUACAGCUUCGUGGCCAACAAAGAUUAUCUAUCUGUAUAUCUCUCUUUUGGCUGCCAGACCCAAAUACUAUUUUGCAUGGACGCUAGCUGAUGCCAUUAAUAAUGCUGCAGGCUUUGGUUUCAGAGGGUAUGACGAAAAUGGAGCAGCUCGCUGGGACUUAAUUUCCAAUUUGAGAAUUCAACAAAUAGAGAUGUCAACAAGUUUCAAGAUGUUUCUUGAUAAUUGGAAUAUUCAGACAGCUCUUUGGCUCAAAAGGGUGUGUUAUGAACGAACCUCCUUCAGUCCAACUAUCCAGACGUUCAUUCUCUCUGCCAUUUGGCACGGGGUAUACCCAGGAUAUUAUCUAACGUUUCUAACAGGGGUGUUAAUGACAUUAGCAGCACGAGCUAAUUUUCUGAAGGAGAGAUAAAAACUGAGUUAAAUAAAGAUGAUCAGAAUGGAUGAGAAAUAACUUUAGACAUUAUUUCGUUGAACCUUCCCAACUGAAAUUAUUUUAUGAUGUUAUAACAUGGAUAGUAACUCAAGUAGCAAUAAGUUACACAGUUGUGCCAUUUGUACUUCUUUCUGUAAAACCAUCACUCACGUUUUACAGCUCCUGGUAUUAUUGCCUGCACAUUCUUGGUAUCUUAGUAUUAUUGUUGUUGCCAGUGAAAAAAACUCAAAGAAGAAAGAAUACACAUGAAAACAUUCAGCUCUCACAAUCCAAAAAGUUUGAUGAAGGAGAAAAUUCUUUGGGACGGAACAGUUUUUCUACAACAAACAAUGUUUGCAAUCAGAAUCAAGAAAUAGCCUCGAGACAUUCAUCACUAAAGCAGUGAUCGGGAAGGCUCCGAGGGCUGUUUUUUUUUUUUUUGAUGUUAACAGAAACCAAUCUUAGCACCUUUUCAAGGGGUUUGAGUUUGUUGGAAAAGCAGUUAACUGGGGGGAAAUGGACAGUUAUAGAUAAGGAAUUUCCUGUACACCAGAUUGGAAAUGGAGUGAAACAAGCCCUCCCAUGCCAUGUCCCCGUGGGCCACGCCUUAUGUAAGAAUAUUUCCAUAUUUCAGUGGGCACUCCCAACCUCAGCACUUGUCCGUAGGGUCACACGCGUGCCCUGUUGCUGAAUGUACGUUGCGUAUCCCAAGGCACUGAAGAGGUGGAAAAAUAAUCGUGUCAAUCUGGAUGAUAGAGAGAAAUUAACUUUUCCAAAUGAAUGUCUUGCCUUAAACCCUCUAUUUCCUAAAAUAUUGUUCCUAAAUGGUAUUUUCAAGUGUAAUAUUGUGAGAACGCUACUGCAGUAGUUGAUGUUGUGUGCUGUAAAGGAUUUUAGGAGGAAUUUGAAACAGGAUAUUUAAGAGUGUGGAUAUUUUUAAAAUGCAAUAAACAUCUCAGUAUUUGAAGGGUUUUCUUAAAGUAUGUCAAAUGACUACAAUCCAUAGUGAAACUGUAAACAGUAAUGGACGCCAAAUUAUAGGUAGCUGAUUUUGCUGGAGAGUUUAAUUACCUUGUGCAGUCAAAGAGCGCUUCCAGAAGGAAUCUCUUAAGACAUAAUGAGAGGUUUGGUAAUGUGAUAUUUUAAGCUUAUUCUUUUUCUUAAAAGAGAGAGGUGACGAAGGAAGGCAGGAAUGAAGAAGCACUGCGUGGCCUCUGGUGGAAUGCACGGGGCACAGCCGUGACUCUGCAGGCCGCUUCCCCCCCCAUGCCAGGGCUCUGCGCCGUCAUGUGAGACUUAAAAAAAAAGUUGAGUGACUUUGUGAUACUUUGGACUUCUAAAUUAAAUUUAUCAGGCAUAAAUUAUGUAGAAUUAGAGGCUUUGAAAAUAAUACUGGUAGGUUGCUCAAAGGUUUUGAAAGAGAAAUCGCUAGGUAGGUUACUAUCUGGCUAAUCCAUUUCUUAUCCUUGACAAUUUAAUUCAUAUUUGGGAAACUUUUAGGGAAAUGAAAAAUAAAAGUCAUUGAGUCUGGGUGACAUUUUUUAAGAAUAAUAUAAAUUCAGUUUCAAACUCUUCUCACAUUAAAAUUUUGCUGUGAACUCUUACUAAAAUGAGCUUUAGGUUCUGUAAGUGGAAAAAUGUGCUUUUAUUUUAUGGGCCAUUUUUACCACAAUUAAUCUUGCCUUGGAUUACUAAGCGUCUCCUGCGAUCCCACAGAGGACUGUGGUGGCCACAGGAGCUGAAAGCAGAAGAGUGGGAUUUGACGCCAGGCAGUGGAGUGGCCUCAGCCCCAGAUUGUACCUCCUGCCCUGUAGGAGGGGAGGGGGCAAAGCCUUCUGACUUCACCUUUAUUUGACCUAUGUAUGGAACUUACUUUUACUUUUUGCCUUAAAUUUUUAAUGAAAUGCAAAUUUUCUGUGAUGGGGUUCUCUCUCUUUUUUUCGGGGGGUGGAGUCACUAAUAAAUUUGCAAAUGAAGUUAAGGACAAGGCAACCAUCUGGCUUAUGCUAUAUAAUACUUCAUUUAAAGAAGAAAGGAAAAGCAAGUGCACUUGCAACUUUUGAGGUCUCAGCAAAAAUGGGCAUGUGUCUUUUUUGAAGUUUAGAAAUAUCCUAAUCUAUUUUUAUUUAUCUAAAAGUAAGUGUUUUCCAGCUGAUAAGGCUAACCCUACCAUUCCUUCUCAGGAAAGGAUUGAUAACUAAAUAAAUUUCCUCUGUUUUCCCAUGCAUUGAAAUUAUGUUGGCUGGGCAUGGUGGCUCACACCUGUAAUCCUAGCACUUCGGGAGGCCGAGGUGGGCAGAUCACUUGAGGUCAGGAGUUGGAGACCAGCCUGGCCAACGUGGUGAAACCCCGUCUCUACUGAAAACACAAAAAUUAGACGGGCAUGGUGGCGCACACCUGUAAUCCCAGCUACUCGGGAGGCUGAGGCAGGAGAAUCGCUUGAACCUGGGAGGCGGAGGUUGCAGUGGGCUAAAAUUGCGCCACUGCACUCCAGCCUGGGUGACAGAGGAAGACUCUGUCUCACAAAAAAAAAAAAAAAAAAAAGAAAAAAGAAAUUAUGCCAGCUGUUUAAUGUGAGAGAAUAGAAAGAAUGUUCAUGGAAAGUACCUGCCCUGUAAAAUGUUUGAUCAUUUUCAUUAAUGUUGCAGAGAAUCCGACUGCUAUUAAGAGAAAGUGAACAAAUUAAGAAUUUAAAAGACAGGUUCAGGCAUGUCAUAAGUGAAAACAAGAAGGCUUAAUACAAACUUGUUGGGUUUUGUUUGUGUGUGUGUGUGUUGUUUUUUUUUUUUUUUUGGUUCAGCCUAUCUAGCCACCUACAAAUAAUCACAUUUCUGUUACCUGAAUUUAUUUCUCAGCCUGUAAACCUUAGUCACUGUUACCUGUUUCUUGCUCAGUGAAUAUAAUCUUAGCACUGUCAUCUAGAAAGCAAGAUAUUUGAUUGGUUUUCCGGUUCCUUUGAAGAUAGUAAUUCCAUAUCCAGUUUGACUGAUUUUCAUACCCCUGAAUCAACUAGUUAUUUUCAUGAAAUGGUUUUUGGAUAUCUCUCCUCUAGUUUGGAGAAGUAAUAAUCACAAAGAUUAAUAUUUUGCUUCUAGUACUUACAGUAGAAGAAUUUUAAACUGGUACGUCUACUCCUGUUAAAUAGAAAGGGGAUUCGUUGUAUUAUGUGCUUGCUUUUUUUUAAUCAAUAGAAUAAGAUUCAAUGCAUAUUUAUGUUAUAUAUUUUCCACUAUUCAGGUAUCAUGAAAUCACUCCAGAGAUGAUCAAUCAACAUCAUAUUUAUACUUUUGGUUAAUUAUAUGCUACUCAGGGAAAAAAUGAACAAAAAUAAUUACUCAUCCUUCAAUUUCAUUUUCUUGAAACAGUAAGAGUUAGUAUAAUUUGGUAUGCCUCAGCUGUCACCAUUUUAUAAGUGGCUCAUUCUGUUUUUAAAGUAAGUAUUUUUAUUGGAACUCAGGGUAAUUGGGGGAAUUUAUUUAGCUUCUAAAAUAUCCGGCAGGAUAGAGAAGAUUUAUUUGGCUUCAAAAAUGUCUGGUGACCACUUCUCUUAUUAGCCACUACUGCCCAUUUGCUUCAAAAAUAUAUUUAUUGGUCUCCACCAUGUGUGACACACACAGGAUUUCCAAACAUACCACUUUUGAGAAAAAUGUGCAGUAAAAAGGAGGUUUCUAGAAAGUGACAGUAACUCACAUUUAAGCACUAGCUGACCUAGGAGGAGACCUGGAUCUUCAUUCUGGUUCUGCCUUUCAUGAGACUUAAGACUUGGAGGAGCCACCUGUCCUGUAGACCCCAAGUUCCUCAGCCAUAAGCAAACGGGUUAAUCCUAAGAGUUCAGGACCAGUUGGGUGUCGUGAACGGAGCCAUUAGCAAGGUCUGUAGGAUUCAAGGACUUGGGCAGAUUCACAGUCCAAACUAUUGUCAUGGUCAUUGACUUUUACUACUUGAGCUCAAAGCCCUGACAUUUCAAAAGGUUGUCAUGAUAACAGUGAAACCUCUGAAUCCCUUAAAUCAGAAGGCAUGGCAACAUACUUUUUCUACUGGCAAUAGCUCUUACAAUGAGUGUUUCAUAAUGAAAUAGUCUCUGCUGAAGAAAACAUGUUUUCCUUUUGCUCUCUCUGUUGGUUUCUGUGCUGUGUGGAAUUGGAGAAGAUAUAUGCUCUGAAAUAUUUUAUACAGAUUACUGACUACUGGACAGGGUUUACCACUAUAUAACAUCUCAAAGUUAUUCAAGGAUAUUUAAAGCAUAUUUAGUUUAGUUACACCUUAUUUUAAACCGCAGAAAACAAUAGCUUUAAAAUUUUUGCCAUUAAAAUAAUUAUAAAUUUAUACUUUUACUCAAGGACUAGAUCACAGUUUUAGGACAAAAAUCUCUCCUAUUUAAAGUUCAUACCUUGUAAGUAUUUAGUUUGUAUAUUCAUGAACAAAUCUGGACAUUUAUACUUUUUUUGUUUCCUUAUCAACUGUUCACAAUUAUUAGUUAAUUGGUCUUAACAGUUCUACAUUAUAAUUGAAAGAAAAAUUACUUGAGAAAAUAAUUGUUUCAGAAUAGUGCCUACUAUUUCUGUGUCAGCUAAAAAUUUGUCCAGAGUUUUAGAUAUAAGCUAGUAUUUUGUGGAGUUUUAUCCAGGCAUUAAUAGUUCUUCCUGGCUGAAAUUUAAUAUAGGUGCAGAAUCCUAAAUAACACUGUGAGAUGUAAUCUUAACUGCCCUCAGUACCUUAUAAAACAGCUGCAUUUAACCCAGUGUGCAUGUAAUGAGUGGCUGGUCGUUGAUACACUCAUCUUAGAUGCUGAAAUUUCUGUUUUCUCCAGCCCUUGUAAAAGUGGGUUUCUUGAUGAAUGCGUGCUCCCAAUGCUGAAGCAAAAGAUUUGCGUUUAAGAAGAGAAAUACACCCUGAAAUUUGAGUUUGAAAGAUUAGAACAUAGAGGGUCUCUACAGUGUUUUUCUGCAACACCAAGUAGUCAAAUCUAUUUAUAGAAACUCUGAUUACAACAGAAAUUUUAAAAUGAAAUUUUCCACAUCGGUAUUUUGUAGGAAAGCUCUUAUAAUCAAUGCUUAAGCUGCUUUUUGAGGCUUUUCUUGUACAGAGGUUGCAGCCAAUUACAUUUUAAUUGGUAGGCUGCUGAAUAAUGUUUUUGUAUGUUUUAAAAUAAUAUUUAUUUUAAUAGGUUUUUUAACAUUAUGCAAACCCCAAUAAAGAACUGACACGUUCCAUAGGCCAUUGACUGGGCAAUUUUGUGAAACACAGCCUAAAUACACAGUUUUUACACCAACUAAUUUGUCUUGCCUUUAAAACUGAUUAUAACUCUUCUUUAAGUACAACUUUUAUAAAGAAAAAAUACAACACUAAGACUGUAUGUUCUGUAAAUUAUAGUGUGAUGACCCAUGCAGAACCGCUGUCUGAAGCUUACUCAGCGAUUCAUAGCCAUCUCCAGCCAUGUUUUAUCAAAUCACACACUAGAAAUAAAUGGAAAUGCUACAGUGAAAAACCAAAAGUUACAGAGCAACAUAAGUAAAAUGACUUAAGCAGUUUCUUAGUAACAUGUUUGAAAUGGGAAAGGUGACUGACUGCCUUUCACUAGAGUCUUAGCUGUUUCACGUUCACUAUUUUAGGUUAAUUUUCUUGGGAAAUCAAUUUGAAUAUUCCUCCCUGUCCUUUUGCAUUAAAGGACAAAAAUAUAUGUUGAGAGUUUGACAGACUUUUUAAAUAUGCCUCUUUCCCAAUUUUAUGUAUUUUUGGUUCUGCGCACACAGAUUUAUCAAUGAAGUACAUUUGCCUCUGACUUUAUCACAAGGAAAAAGGAAUCAAACAUUGAACACAAAUGUGUUCCAAACCAGUCUUGUCCAUCUUGUCACUUUUGUGUGACUGCUCCUCUGAACCAGAAGGGGCACGGUAGAAGGCAAUAGGAAUGAAAGUAAAAUCAUUCAGGUGAAGUGAGAAAUUCUUCCACAUACAGAGUGAAAAUGUGUGAUUUCAUUCCUGCCUGCCUUUAAACGUUGUCUUGAUCUCUGCCUAGUAGUAGUUGAGCCCUCAGUCGCCCAAACAUGAGGAGAGACCCAACUCCAGCAGCCAGAAUUUAGUAUUUACAUUUGCCUUCCCAAGUUGAGAAUAGAAUGUGGUGUUCUGUGCUUUCUGUUUUUAUUAUUCCAAAAUAUUUUUUUAAAGAAGUGUUAUUUUUCAACAGAUUCAUAAAUUAGUUCCUGAUGUACGGUAAAUUAAAACUCCCACUGUGUCAGUCAAACUGAGAUGUGCUCAUUUCAUAACCACUCAUUUCUAGUCUGUCAGAGCUGCACUGGUGGCUUAUUGCUGGUUUUUAAAGGUGUUUUUAACUUACAUGUAACAUGUUUAGGACAUGUUUUUUUUUUCUAAUUUGUGUGUCUUUACAACUGAUUAAACAGUAGUUUAAAAAUA